UGGGAACCUCCAUAUGCCAUGGGUGUGGCCCUAGAAAAGAUGACAAAAAAGGGGGGUGGGGGCAAAGAAUCACAGUGCCUGCUAGGCUUGUUGGGAUUCUAGAGGUCACUCCCCAAAUCUAGGUAUAUUGUCCCAACUUGUAUACUGGGUGACAUGACAGAGGCCACCAGCUUUGUGUAGAGCUGAGAGCAGGAAUGGGCUUUGAAGCAGGUCUGAGCUGUGGGACAAGCAUUCCUGACACUUGGGCCAUAGAGUCAACCUAGACCCUAGCGCGUUGGAGAUAUGAAUGGGAGUAUUGCGGAGCUCAUGUUAAAUCAUGAGACCGUCCCACUGUAGGUUCCCAUGGUUCUAAACCAAAGCAUGUCAUCUGCUUACAGCACCACAGAAAAUUGUCCCAAGUAAGCCAAGUAAUAGCCUGUUCUAUGUACAGCUGUGGCACCAGCUCAGGGAAUGCCCUCUAAGGGUGGGUGCCAUCCUUCAGGAUUCAGAAUGUACACUAUUUUGUAGAAGAGCUCUAUUCUGUCUCAAUAAGAAGAACCCAUAAGUCCAGAAACCUCCAGGGUCAGAAGUAGGCAUGACCUCACUCUCUUUCCUAGGGACUCAAGGGGAAGGGUACAGGUCUAAUUUAAGAAAUCAGAAGGCUUAUGCCACCUAGUAGCAAAAAUGUCUACCCUAUCUGACCCAUGGAAGAAUGCCAAUCUGUCCCAUAAAUGGAAAUCUGCUGGGUGUAAUGUAGCAUUGGAAGAAUGUAUAACGGUGUUCUUAGAGGAGAACAGGAGAGGUGCUUCCAUUUACUAAGAGUUGUCUUCUCGGGCAUCCCAGCACUCGGAUGCUUUCCUGUGGUGUCUCUUCAUAGACAGAAGCAUCAAGGGUGCAAGUUGCCAGUGAGUAGAUUUCGUCUCCUGAUGACAUACCCAAGGAAGUGUUACUUAAGGGACGUUCUUUCCUGUAGCUCACCAGUACUGACAGUGGCAGAGCCCACAGAGAAGGACAUGUGCCUCAGAACACCCACACGGCUCAGCAGAGGGCAGAGUCCUCCGUGAUCACUGACAGAAGACCCUUUGGGGGAGCAUGUGUUCAAUGACUGUCCUGCUACCGGUGGAGGGCAGGGCUUCCCGACACUUGCCCUGGAACACUUUCCUCCAGGUCCUGGAACAAUCCACAUACCAGGCACCCUGACCUUGGACAAGGAGAGUGCUACAAACAAGAUUCUCAGGGUCAAAGACCUCCGGACAGAGACCAGCGGACGUUGGUUCCGAGACACUGCUCAGAGGAAAUAAAAACGGAGACUAGGAGGAACACGGGAUUGGGGAGCAGUGAAAAUACUGUGUACGCCAGUGAUAGGUCUAGCUGCAAUGCAGAUCUGACCAUUCUAAUCAACCACACGGGGAACUCCAGGUUGUGAACUGCCACAGAGAAAUCCUGUGGUGAGUAAAGCUGCUCAUUCAUUGGCAGAGGCUGCCCAGGAAGAGCAGACCCUCAACUCAGAAGCUGAGAUGAGGUCUGAAAAAACACCGACCACUGGAGGUUGUCAGACAAGUCGUCCUUGAAAGUGAAUAUCCUUAAGACCCAAGGCACAUACUUCUCCGCAUGUGUAGGGAAGCAGCUUCCCUAGCCUCUGGUGGGCAGACUUUAGAGGUUGGAGGAGGGACCUAGACCUUGUCGCUGCAGUUGGUUUUGAGCUACAACUGACCUUAUAUUCCUGCUUCUCUUCUGCCCAUCCUAAAUUCUCUCCUCAGCUAACGCCUCUCCUGGUCUUAGUGACUUAGUCAAUGGUGUGACUCUGUCAUUCCUGAGGGGGUCUGAAUCUCUGAUGACUAUCCCUUCUCAGCCUGGUGUUGCUCUCCUUGUCCAUGCACUUUUGGGUAAAAGAGGACCAAGAUAUGUCCAGGGUGACCACUCGGUGCCGUCCGUCCUCCACUCUGCUGCCUUGUCACAGAAACCCUAUAUCGCUCGGAGCCGGUAUUCUUACCAAGAUGGUGACCUGUUCCUGGACGCAGGAAGUCCCAAAGUACCCAGAAAACAUCUAUAACUCGGGGGGGUGUCAAAAGAACCUUUUGGCAGCAGUGUGCUCUGAGGAUCAGAAUUCUGUGCAUCCUGCCCCUUCAACAUUUGGCUCCGUGGGGUUAGACUGGGUUCUCCAGUGGGUCAUUGGGAAUUAAGGCAAAUUGGGGUCUCUCCUUGUUCCUGAAACCCUGUGUUCCUCCUGGGAACAUAGCAUCAUAGAGGCAUCUGUUUCACUGCAUAUAUAGCAUCCUGUAGUGCCCUUCCUGGCAGGGGACCACCUCUGCUCUGGCUCUAUAGCUGUGCCUUUAGGAGGCUGUGCCAUAGCUAACAGGUAGAGCCUGCUCUGAAAGGUGCAGUAUCUGAUGCAACCACUGGAUCUCAGGUCUCACCUUCAUCUUCAUUGUAAGGUGGCUCCUCUAGUCAUGCUGUGAUAUAUCAGCUCAUACCAUGAGCCAGGCAUUAACUCCCUCCAAAAGUGACUCCUGCUUGAGGUUCUGAGAGUAGAAGGGGAAGUCCACAUCUGGAAUAUAGGCCCAUCGACAUGAGACUGAGUCACUAGCUCCUCCAGGAAGGAAAGAACCCACCUAAUAGUGUAUGACACCAACUGGGCAGGCUGUCUUGCUGAGGGACGGUGCCAUGUCUGGGGCUCAAGACUGGUCUCCACUGCUCGCAGGGUGGACAAUCAGCAGGAACUAGUUGGCCUGGAUGGGUGGGCUGCCCUGCCCCUGGGCCCUUUAGUAGCCUCUAUCCCUGCCCCAUAACCUCUGUUCAUGUGUCCACUGCACCAUGUCUCCUGUGACGGCUGAAUAAAAACCAGUUAACAUGUAUUUAACAAAUCUGAGAUGUAACUCACUCAGACCAUGAGAUCCACCCCUUUAAAGUAUGCAAUUGAAGGAUUUUGUCUAUUGACAGUUACGUAACCACUCCCACCAAUGUACAAUCAUUACCCCAAAGAGAAAUUCUGUACCCAUUAGCAGUCGCUGCUUAUCCCCCAAGCCCCCCACGCCCCCCACUAUCUCUAGGCAAAGACUAAAGCUAUCUAUUCUUGACCAUCAUGAGACCAGAUGGUCAUGUGACUAGAAACUGUACUACUGGCCUUGUGUGUCUCGGUUCUUUCCCUGGGACAUUCUCAACGUUCAUCCGUGUUGUAGCAAGUGUCACUACCUUAUGCCUUCACAUCAAGGACUGGCUGGAGCUGCUUUCUCUACGGGUGGUUCAGCGGCUCCGCCACAGUGGACAUGAACACGAGAGGCAGAGAAUCAUUAUCGUCUGUAAUCUAUAUGCACUCCUAUACGUUGAUAUGGAAACCGGAUCAGGCAGGAAUCAUGGCUGCAUUGAUAGCAACUGAAUUGUCGCCUGUGGGUCCAUCCGUGCUCUCUAAUGAGGGACAACAUCGGGUCGGCGUUCUGUGUGUGUGUGUGUGUAACAUAUACACACAGCUGCCUACCCUGGAGGCUCUGGCUUCUGGAGGAAGUGCCACCACCGGCCUUUGUUGCUUUUGGGGUUGAUCAGUCCCACUGAGGAACCUCCAGGGUCAACAGCCCUGGUCUGCAAAGGCGCCUCUCUCACGGAGCAUCCCCAGUGGCCUUCCUGAAAGACAAGACCUCUGACACACAAGCCCUCUGGGCUAUCCUGGCCUCACAUGUACCGACUCCCCUCACAGUCCCUCCUUCUGCCACCUCCUGCAGCAACCCAGGAAUCUCAUCUCUGCUCUUUCCAGCCUUUUAUGCAAGAAGUGUGUCCCAUCCCCUGGGGCCCUUGCCCAGGGUUAAAUCCCUCACCCUGAAGGAGGCCCCAGCACCCUUAAACUCCCUUAUCCAGACUGACUCUGGGUCCCUUGAUCAGACACCUUAAAUCCCAGUUCCAUGACUGUUUUCUCAGCUCCUGCCACUCACGCUGACCCUUGCUCAUCUGGAGUCUGGUUCCUAUCCUGUUCCCUGGCCCAGCACAUUCAUGGCUAAGCUACACUAUAACCCUAGUUAUCUGCUUGGCAGACGGGAGAGGAAGUGGCACCUAUUGGGUCCCAUGUUUCUUGCAGAGAAGUGUUUCAUAUCUUCUGAUGUGUGAGCUGUAGGGCACUGAAGGGAGUGUCAGCUGAUACGGGAACUCCUCCUUAGGCUCUGAGGGCUCAGGAGGGUCGAGGGAGCCAACAUCAAGGGCGGCAUCUACCAGAUAUCCUCGUGCUACAUUUGACAAAGACCUGCCUCUGUUGAGCACUCACAGGGCUCCACAGCUUAUCAGAUCUUGCUACCAAGAUCGGUCGGUCUUCAGCUUUCUUUCUCCUCUCCCACUGUAGGAAAUAAGGUCCUCUUUGUGAAGCACUAAAGAGACACUGGCCUUCACACGUGGUUUAACUGCCCUCAGCCCUUCCGUUCCUAGUAGAACACCCAGUGGAGUCUGCGAUCUUCAUGUGCUGGCCCCUCCCACACCCCCACUGUACUUCCCAAGUCCCUGCACCAGCCAGGAGGUCCCUUCCACAGGGACCUCCUCCCAAGUCACAACCAAUGAAGGUUUUAGGAACAGAGCACUGCCUUAUGCCCUGGACUGCCCAUGUCUCCUUCCAACUUGGAAUAAUUUCCUGUUCCCUGACGGGCACCGAGUGAUCUGGUCCCCAGACCCCUUCCUUCCUGCUACUUUCUUAGACACAGUUGAUACCAAGAUGGUCUGUUAGGUCUUCCAGAAAGCAGAUGUCGUGAUGGAGUUAGGUAUGGAAGAGGCUUGUUGGCUUAACACCUAUAAGCGAGAGAAAAAAAAGGCAGGAGUGGACAGGGAGGGCUUCAGAGGCAACGCAGGUAUGACAAAGUCUCAGAUGAUCCAGGUUGGAGCUCAAGAACAAGGAUUGCCCCAUACAGAAGUCUUCUGUGUGGCAGAAGAGGUCAGGCCUUAGCACCCCAUCAUGUGUGGUCAUUGGGAAUAACAUGGCCUCAGCUCAAAAGCUACAGCAUAUCCUAAAGGCCCUAUAUUCAUAACUGAGUGCCAAGUUCAUUCUUGACUCGCCCUUGAAGGGCGGUCUAAGCAUCACACCUCCGUCUGCAGGCAAGUUGUGGUUCAUGUCAAUUCUGGUACAAGAAUGUUGCUGGUUAGAGACCUGUGACCUUCAUGUGCCCAAGGUUGCAGGGCAUGCGGUAAGACACUGCAUGGGCUGGGGAGGUGGUCGAAGUCUGUCAUAGGCUCUUAUGUACCCAACACUUGGAGGAAUCUGUGCUCUCCACAUUAAGAGCUGGUUUCUCUACAUGCUGCAACAAGUGGAAUCUUGUUCCUUAUAGUUUCGAACUAUGGUUAGGGGUCCCUAACCAUGUGUGGUCCACCUUAAUUCACUCAUGGUUGCGUUUUAUGGUAUGUGUUUGAGGAUGUUGGGGUAUCAUUGGUGUCCUAACCGCUAGGGUGUAGCCCACCACACUUACCUGCAGCUCAAGUCCUCUUCUGCCACCAGAUUCUGUUAGAAGUGGACCAAUGCCUCCCUCUGCUGUCAUCUUGGAGGCUAUAGGCACCUCAGAGAGGACACAGCCAAGCCCCCAGGGAAGCCCACAUCUUAGAAAAAAUUGUUCACAAGUUAGCAACUUGUCCUCUGGAAGAUGAUCCAUUCCCAACUCGGGCCUCAGACACUGGGCAUGUUGUGACAUGAAUCAGAGGUGACUGGCUGUGCAGAAAAUGGUUCUAAAAGUCCAGUCCACCGAGGAAGCUGCUGGGCUGAAGCAUCUCCAAAUGCUGCAAGAAAGGAGCAAAGAUCUUUUCUCUGUCACUGGCCGUCCUGUGGUCCCAUAGUCCUGCUCACGUCCUGUUCUCUGGGGACCCUGGACCCAUGUUACCAUGUUGUCACCAGAACUCGUUUGGCCUCUGAUGUCAAACAUGAAACCAAGUUUUUGCCACACACUUCCCACCCCCACCCACCACAUUUGUAUUUGAUGGCGGCUUUUGAGCAAGAGGUGCUUCCCCCCCACCCUAUGUCAUAACAACCACCAAGCUGGAUUCCUUCUCAGCUGGAACCUUCUCCCAAAAUAAAUCAAACGGGGUCUGUGACCUCCACUACUUUAGGUCUCCUUCAAGGAUAAAAGGUCACCCUGACAGAAGCUUGAUUUGCUGCUCCAAAGCAAAAAGUGGAAAUUCUACCUCCGAUGCCAACCGAUGUCCGGAGAUGAAAAGGCUUCUGGAGUUUCUGAUUAAAGGUCUUUGUCCUGCAGGCCUGUGGAGGAACCUGUUUUAGGUCCUAAACAGCACUAAGUGUGCCCAGGAGUUUGUGCGGUGUCCUUGGUGGAUGCCGACACAGGGCAUUCAGAUUCAGUUAUGCUGGGCCUCUGAUUCAGGCAUGGUAGGAAAGAGGCCUGGCGGUGUUUCUGGCCACAAAUCAUUUUCUCGCAGUCACACACUGCAAGGUGGUCUGGUGAAACCAGGAGCAGCCCCCCAGCUCUAAUUGUGCCAUGGCCAAGGUUCCUUUCUGGGGUACAGCAACCACCGGCCUGGACGGUGGGAAGGAGGCCACAAGGAAAACCCUGCCAGGUGAGGCGGUGGCUCAGGCUGACGUGUGCAGAGGCGAGCUUGUGUGCGUGGUGGGAAAAGGCCAGGAGUACUGAUGCAGGGGCAGAAAUCCAUGCCUACGUGAGGUAUGCCUCUGCCAGCUUCCAGAAUGGGAGGCCUUCUCUACCAGUGUGCCCUGGGCACGGCCUUGGCUGCUCCUAGAACAACCUUCCCGCCUAGCCCAGCUUCUCCAACUAAAAUGCUGUAAAAGCGCCUGUGUCAGGCAAAGUAGCUCAUCAGAUGGGGCAAGCAGCUCUGAGGAGAGAAGGCUGGUGUCCACGAAUCACAACAGAGUUCCUGAAAAACUGCCCCCACCCCAAGGGGCGCUGCUUUACCCGAUCCUCCACUAGAUCACACCACUCUGGGGCUAUAUCUGGCCACUGCCCUGGAGGUGGAGUGGACAGGGCAGUCUGGUCUGGAGGGAAGAAUCACCCUUGGGCACUUGGGAAGUCACAGACUCCUUGAGUUCAGGCUAACCUGACCUCUAGGCUUUGUUUCUUCUUUCAUCUCCCAUGUAUGUGGAUACCAAGUAGGGAGGGGACCCCAGGAUGCUUCUGAGCUUUGAAAGGCUGGUUGUCUCUUCCUAUAAGGCCCUGAAUUUGGCACUAACCUUCUUUCCUGAUGGAAGCUGCCGGGGAAAAAUGAUAGUCACAAAGAGACCAAGUGGAAGACAAACUCACGCUUUCUCUUUUAAUCACAUCCCACCUGCUUUCAGUUUCUGAUGGGUUCCUUUGUGCUGAUGUGGGUGUAGGAGAGGAAUGUGUCCUUUGUAAUAUAAAAGAGCAAGUGAUAUCCCAUUUAUUUAAAAUUGCUGUUUUAUUUAACAGUAUUUGAAGUUAUAAUUCCAGAUACAGCUAUUAUAUCAUCGGCUAUAAGAACUCCUAUUUCAAAUACAUAAAAUGCUUAAUAAAAACAGAACAUAAAGC